GCACUGAUGACGAGUCCCAAAUAGGACAAGACAGCUGUCCAGUGC
rfam:Echinostoma caproni strain Egypt genome assembly, scaffold: ECPE_scaffold0013641